AAUCAACGCUGGCGGCGUGCCUAACACAUGCAAGUCGAACGAGAAAGUGGAGCAAUCCAUGAGUAAAGUGGCGACCGGGUGAGUAACACGUGACUAACCUACCUUCGAGUGGGGAAUAACCUCGGGAAACCGGGGCUAAUACCGCAUAAUGUCUUCGGACCAAAGGAGCAAUUCGCUUGAAGAGGGGGUCGCGGCCGAUUAGCUAGUUGGCGGGGUAACGGCCCACCAAGGCGAUGAUCGGUAGCCGGCCUGAGAGGGCGCACGGCCACACUGGAACUGAAACACGGUCCAGACUCCUACGGGAGGCAGCAGUGGGGAAUUUUGCGCAAUGGGGGAAACCCUGACGCAGCAACGCCGCGUGGAGGAUGAAGCCCCUUGGGGUGUAAACUCCUUUCGAUCGGGACGAUUAUGACGGUACCGGAUGAAGAAGCACCGGCUAACUCUGUGCCAGCAGCCGCGGUAAUACAGAGGGUGCAAGCGUUGUUCGGAAUUAUUGGGCGUAAAGGGCGCGUAGGCGGUGCGGUAAGUCUGUUGUGAAAUCUCCGGGCUCAACUCGGAGCCUGCAACGGAAACUGCCGUGCUGGAGUAUGGGAGAGGUGAGUGGAAUUCCCGGUGUAGCGGUGAAAUGCGUAGAUAUCGGG
rnacentral:rRNA from 1 species